CAGCCGCCGCGGGAAUACGGAGGGGGCUAGCGUUGCUCGGAAUUACUGGGCGUAAAGCGUGCGUAGGCGGCUUCUUAAGUCGGAUGUGAAAUCCCUGAGCUUAACUUAGGAAUUGCAUUCGAUACUGGGAAGCUAGAGUAUGGGAGAGGAUGGUAGAAUUCCAGGUGUAGCGGUGAAAUGCGUAGAGAUCUGGAGGAAUACCGAUGGCGAAGGCAGCCAUCUGGCCUAAUACUGACGCUGAGGUACGAAAGCAUGGGGAGCAAACAGGAUUAGAUACCCCUGUAGUCCCUGUCUCUUAUAC
rnacentral:rRNA from 1 species